rnacentral:pre_miRNA from 1 species
CACUGCAGAUCAGCCAGUUGAAGCGGAUUGGUCUUCACCGGGUGCUUUGCAGUGGG